UAUGAUGCAGUAUUAUUCAAUCAAUAUGGUAUUGAUUAAUAAUCAGUAUUGAAGAUGUGUUUCUAGGUUGGGUAUCAGGUCUACUUUACGAAUGCAGGCAGCGGCUGAAGAAUGCAUUACUUCUUAAUCUUUUUAGGGGUCCAGUCACUGAAGGUAUGUUUGUAUUGAAAGGAGUGAAAUUAUAUCCUUAUGAAAUGUAUUCCUCAAGCCAAAACUCAGGAACUCACAGAAAACAGAUACCAUGCUGCCAUGCAAUAAAACAAUAAAACUGAUCUGGAAAAGAGAUCUUCAAUGAGUAAACAACACCUAUCGUCUUGCUAAUUUACGACCUCCUUCCUCCAUCUUCCUCUCCUCUCACCUCCAUGCCUCUGACUCUCACUCUUCUCAACCAAAAGCAAGAAUAUCCAUAUGCCAUGUUAUAUCUUAUGAAUAUGUUCUUUUUUACACUUCAUGUUUAGUAUCAUUUUAAAGGUCUCUGUGCUAUUGGUAAAUUUGUCUCAAUUUCACAGUAGUCACUUGUAUUAUAAGAAAGAUUGAGAACAUUGGAAGAAUUGUGUUCUGCUAAGAAGUGGGUGUGUUCAACUUUAGGGGUCUUUGAGAAUGUUUAACUCCAGCCCGGCUUGACCCUGAUGUGACCACGGGAACCUAAAGAACCAAAAUGACUUUUUAUGUUUUUACAACUGAUUUGAAGAUUUCUUUGUUGUCUGGUCUGAGGAUUUAAAGGAAGUGACAAAACAAUAUGGAAAAACCCUCAUGCAUUGUGAGAGUCUCUGGAGCUCUGCACCAGAACUCUGCUGUCUUUCUCUCUGCUGUCAGGUUAAGGUGAUUAGUGAUCUCCCAUAAACUGGCUUGCUCCUCAUCACUGGAGUCUCUGAAACUCACACAUCUCUUGGUCCUCGUGGAAUGUGAGGGUGCAUACAGAUACAGAUAGCACAGAGCUUCCCCAUCAAUGUGAAGCACAGCGAGCAGUAAUGGUCUGUUAAAGGAAAUCAUUUUGUCCAGCAGGUUGGUCUAACAGUUUGUUUCUUUUUGCCAGUUAUAGAUGAUCUGAAAUACAGUCCUUUCUCUAAAGCAUGUAAACCAACAUUUGCAGCGAAGGGUAGGGCAGAUAUGCACUUCAUCAUCAUGACCUCCCGUUUCUUACACUUUCCCACAGGACAUGCACAAUAUCCAGGAGCCUGGCUAUGGUGGCAUCACCUGGUAGGCUGCAAAAAUAUGAGGAAGUGUGUGUAUUCAUUUACUUUCCCCCAUGACUUUUCAUUUAAUUUUUAGUUAAAUUAUUUCUGGGGAGAAAUUGAAAUAUUCCCUGAGAAAGUGUUUUAAAAUUUUACUUUUAGAUAAUACCUAAUAGAUAACAGCAUUUAUUUGAAAUAUAUUAUUUUGUAACAAUGUAAUAUGAUCACUUU